rnacentral:rRNA from 1 species
GACGAACGCUGGCGGCGUGCCUAACACAUGCAAGUCGAACGGGACUUAAUGGAAAGCGACUUCGGUCAAUGGAAGUUAAGUUUAGUGGCGAACGGGUGAGUAACGCGUGAGGAACCUGCCUUCCAGUGGGGGACAACAGUUGGAAACGACUGCUAAUACCGCAUAACGCAUAUUGAUCGCAUGGUCGAUAUGCCAAAGAUUUAUCGCUGAAAGAUGGCCUCGCGUCUGAUUAGCUAGUUGGUGAGGUAACGGCCCACCAAGGCGACGGUCAGUAGCCGGACUGAGAGGUUGACCGGCCACAUUGGGACUGAGAUACGGCCCAGACUCCUACGGGAGGCAGCAGUGGGGAAUAUUGCACAAUGGAGGAAACUCUGACGGAGCAAUGCCGCGUGAGUGAAGAAGGGUCUUCGGAUUGUAAACCUCUGUUGAUAGGAAGAAGAGAGUGACGGUACCUAUCGAGGAAGUCACGGCUUACUACGUGCCAGCAGCCGCGA